AGGACGAACGCUGGCGGCGUGCUUAACACAUGCAAGUCGAGCGGUAAGGCCUUUCGGGGUACACGAGCGGCGAACGGGUGAGUAACACGUGGGUGAUCUGCCCUGCACUUCGGGAUAAGCCUGGGAAACUGGGUCUAAUACCGGAUAUGACCUCCUAUCGCAUGGUGGGUGGUGGAAAGAUUUAUCGGUGCAGGAUGGGCCCGCGGCCUAUCAGCUUGGUUGGUGGGGUAAUGGCCUACCGAAGGCGACGACGGGUAGCCGACCUGAGAGGGUCGACCGGCCACGACGUGGGACUGAGACACGGCCCAGACGUCCGUACGGGAGGCAGCAGGUGGGAAUAGUGACACGAAGUCGGGA
rnacentral:rRNA from 1 species